rnacentral:rRNA from 1 species
UAGGGGAUCUUCCACAAUGGACGCAAGUCUGAUGGAGCAACGCCGCGUGAGUGAAGAAGGGUUUCGGCUCGUAAAGCUCUGUUGUUAAAGAAGAACGUGGGUAAGAGUAACUGUUUACCCAGUGACGGUAUUUAACCAGAAAGCCACGGCUAACUACGUGCCAA